CCGCUUCAAAUUGAAUUUCAUUACUGAUUCUGGGACUUGAGCACCUCUAAGAAGGACAGAUCCAUACGCUACAGCUGCACCAGCAUGGCCCUUCUCUGCUGCCCUGUGAAAACACCAUAAAGCUGAGGCAACAUCUUUCUUCACACAGUCCCCUGUCAAAUAUACAGCACCGAGAAGGUAAAGAGCACCUGGAUGCAACUGGUCAACAGCCUUCUCCAAAUAAUAGAAAGCUUGCUGAUCUGAUUGAACAUAAUCA
rnacentral:misc_RNA from 1 species